rnacentral:lncRNA from 1 species
CCCCCACCCCACCAUCAGCUUUUGACAUCAGCCUCCCUCUGUGCUCUUCCAAACCUGAGAGCAGAAAAGGUUUUAUUUGCUCUCCUUUCCAAGCAUUCCCCGGGGGCCCUUUCUGACUGCCCAUGCUCUGCACGCAAGAUCCCCACCUGCUACUCUUGCUGCUCUUGCUGCUGCCUGGAAUGGAGUGGCCUGAGAGGAGACAGAUGGCUGCGGUUACCUCUCUCCACCCUUUCCCGAAGAGGAAGCCGAAUGCUCCAAAUGAAUGCAUGGGAAUGAAUAGGAAGAGGCAGAACCACCUGCUUGAUGGGUCCCUUUUGCAAAAAAGGAAUCUCCUUUCCCAGAGCAAGGAGUUACUGGUUGGUUCUGGAAGCAGCAGGGAUGAUUCCUCCUCAACAAAAGCACUUCUUCAAGAAUCCUGAACUAGGCAUGCCCUCAUUAUGAGGAAAAAUGUCCCAGCACACAUGCAAAUCCAGGCAUUUAAACAUUUCUUGCUAACUGCUGACAACUUUUAAAGGUAAGCACAAAACAUCACUAUGUGAAUUGUUUCUAUUAACUACACUGUUUCAGUUAUUUAUUUCACUUGGGAGUGAAGAUCAAGUGCAAAAGGGGGUAAAAAUACCAGUUCUCUGGUCAUACCUAUUAGAUAAAAGUCUUUGGUUGCAGAAAUAAGUAUAUUCAGAGCCAAAGGCAAUAUGCAAAUUGUGUUAAUGGAGUGAUAGAGAUGGAAGCUGACUAUGACAUUCAUGGUAUUCAGAAAUGACUGGAGACGUGAGACUCAGGUUUUUGGAUUCAGUAUGUCUCAUGGCGUCUGAUCUUGUGUGCGAUUUGUGCUUCUGCCCAGAUAUGGGAGUUGCGAACCUGACUUCCAUCAGCAGUGUACAUCAGGCUGUGCUGUUAAUAAAGCCUCAGGAUGACGUGUCAUUGUGGUAUGUAAAUGUGGGUAGGCAGGAAGGUGUCACUAGGAAGGUGCCUUGAAGGUAGGAAAGGUGGGGAGGCAGCGGGAGAGAAAUUAAUUCAGUGCACAUCUUAAUGCAAACCUAUGCAAUUCACAGUUCCUGAACAAAUACAAGAACCAAAUGGAGUUAUCCUUCAAAAUUCACAUUUCUCUGAAUUUUGCAAUGCAGUUCUUCAACCAAAAAAUGCCUAUGAAAAAUGUGUAUGUUAGAGGGAAGUGCACACAACAAUGGGUGUAUCGGC